rnacentral:rRNA from 1 species
UACGUAGGGUGCGAGCGUUAAUCGGAAUUACUGGGCGUAAAGCGUGCGCAGGCGGUUCGUUGUGUCGGCGGUGAAAGCCCCGGGCUUAACCUGGGAAUGGCCGUCGAAACUGGCGAACUGGAGUGUGGCAGAGGGGGGUGGAAUUCCGCGUGUAGCAGUGAAAUGCGUAGAGAUGCGGAGGAACACCGAUGGCGAAGGCAGCCCCCUGGGCUGACACUGACGCUCAUGCACGAAAGCGUGGGGAGCAAACAGG